GGGCUGCACACGUGCGUACAAUGGCCGGUACAAUGAGCUGCGAUACCGCGAGGUGGAGCGAAUCUCAAAAAGCCGGUCUCAGUUCGGAUUGGGGUCUGCAGCUGACCCCAUGAAGUCGGAGUCGCUGUAAUCGCAGAUCAGCAUUGCUGCGGUGAAUACGUUCCCGGGCCUUGUACACACCGCCCGUCACGUCACGAAAGUCGGUAACACCCGAAGCCGGUGGCCAACCCCCUUGUGGGGAGGGAGCUGUCGAAGGUGGGACUGGCGAUUGGGACGAAGUCGUAACA
rnacentral:ncRNA from 1 species